UACUCCUACGGGAGGCAGCAGUAGGGAAUCUUCCGCAAUGGGCGAAAGCCUGACGGAGCAACGCCGCGUGAGUGAUGAAGGUCUUCGGAUCGUAAAACUCUGUUAUUAGGGAAGAACAUAUGUGUAAGUAACUGUGCACAUCUUGACGGUACCUAAUCAGAAAGCCACGGCUAACUACGUGCCAGCAGCCGCGGUAAUACGUAGGUGGCAAGCGUUAUCCGGAAUUAUUGGGCGUAAAGCGCGCGUAGGCGGUUUUUUAAGUCUGAUGUGAAAGCCCACGGCUCAACCGUGGAGGGUCAUUGGAAACUGGAAAACUUGAGUGCAGAAGAGGAAAGUGGAAUUCCAUGUGUAGCGGUGAAAUGCGCAGAGAUAUGGAGGAACACCAGUGGCGAAGGCGACUUUCUGGUCUGUAACUGACGCUGAUGUGCGAAAGCGUGGGGAUCAAACAGGAUUAGAUACCCUGGUAGUCCACGCCGUAAACGAUGAGUGCUAAGUGUUAGGGGGUUUCCGCCCCUUAGUGCUGCAGCUAACGCAUUAAGCACUCCGCCUGGGGAGUACGACCGCAAGGUUGAAACUCAAAGGAAUUGACGG
rnacentral:rRNA from 1 species